rnacentral:lncRNA from 1 species
GCUUUUUGCUCUACAGUUGUGUGAGAUCGACCUUAAACUUUCUCCGACCCUAUUCGGGAUGCCCUAGCACGGCUCAGGUGUUGGUGGCUGUCAAGGACCCGGGUUCCAACAAUCUGGAAAAGUAGGAACCCAGUGCCCGGCUCCCUAGCUUUACUGCUCUUAAAUAUAUAAAUUCCCGGGAAGUUUCGGAUACCUCACUACGACAUUCCCCAGCUGACCUUUGGGAACUUUUAACUUGGGUCGUCCUGUACAGAACGGUAGUCUACGGGGCGCUCAAAAUGGAAAAGGGUUUCCACAUCAGUCGCGUUCGAGAACGCUCUCCAACUUUUGAUGUCCCGUUUGCUCUUAGCUUUCCCCGUGGAGAGUUACAGAAAGGAUUUCUUCCGACAGACAUGACCCCAGAAGGCGGCCGAGGGAAACUUUAGGACAAGAGGAGUUGUUUUUGUGAUAAUGCAUUUUUAAACCCCACCCCCCCACACACAAGUUUCAGCGUGGCCGCAUUUUGAAAAGGCUGAAGGUAGAAAACUCUGGAAUGGAGAGGCUGGCGACUGGAGCAGGAUCCAGGGGCUUUAAAUUUUAACCUGAGUGCGAUCGAAUGUGCGACUUCCAGAUGAGAUAGCCAGGCGUCCGCCCAGCCACUCAACCCCCGCCAGGACUCGGAAUGCCUUGCUUUUGGUUCUUUUCUACAAGGAUGUCUGCAUGGAUAUCCCUGGACACUGAUACCCCUGGGGACCUGCUUUUGCCGCAGCUCCGCAGACGCAGCGGGAGGGCUCGCUGGCCCGGGCGCUGCUGGGACAGAGGUGAGCGGCGAGAUGGACAUUGA